GGCUCGGUUUCCGGAAAUCUGCACACAAUACCCAUCGAUACAGUCUUUGUAGUGGCUUUGGCGGAUAGAAACUUCACAAAGAUGUGCUCAAAAGCUCAAAAGCUUUCCCGCGGGCCACUUGAAGCUUCCGCU
ensembl:ncRNA T06G6.14 ncRNA